AUUGAACGCUGGCGGCAGGCCUAACACAUGCAAGUCGAGCGGGAGGCGGACGGGUGAGUAAUGUAUGGGGAACUGCCCGAGAGGGGGGGAUAACUACAGGAAACGCUAGCUAAUAACGCAUAUGAGCGUAUGUAUCCAGAUGGGAUUAGCUAGAGGGUGAGGUGACGGCUAACCAAGGCGACGAUCCCUAGCUGGUAUGAGAGGCUGAGCAGCCACACUGGGACUGAGACACGGCCCCGACUCCUACGGGAGGCAGCAGUGGGGAAUAUUGCACAAUGGGCGCAAGCCUGAUGCAGCCAUGCCGCGUGUGUGAAGAAGGCCUUCGGGUUGUAAAGUACUUUCGGCGGGGAGGCGUUACCGGCAGAAGAAGCACCGGCUAACUCCGUGCCAGCAGCCGCGGUAAUUC
rnacentral:rRNA from 1 species